rnacentral:lncRNA from 1 species
AAUCAGUGUCUUCCAGAAAGAAAUCCAGGUCUUCCAGUCAAUCAGUGUCUUCCAGAAAGAAAUCCAGGUCUUCCAGUCAGUCAGUGUCUUCCAGAAAAAUCUACGUCUUCCACCAAAUCCAGGUCUUCCAGUCAAUCCACAUCUUCCGGAAAAAAUCCAGGUCUUCCAGCCAAUAUAUGUCUUCCUGAAGAUCCACGUCUUCCAGAAAAUCCAUGUCUUCCAGAAAAUCCAUGUCUUCCAGUAACCUCCCAGUCUUCCAGAAAAUCCACGUCUUCCAGACUAUCCAUGUCUUCCAGAAAAUCCUUGUCUUCCCUUAAAUCUAUAGCUUCCAAAAAAUCCGGGUCUUCCAGGAAAUCCGUGUCUUCCAGCAAGUCCACGUCUUCCAACAAAGCCAUGUCUUCCAGACUAUCCAUGUCUUCCAGAAAAUCCUUGUCUUCCCUCAAAUCCAUAGCUUCCGAAAAAUCCAGGUCUUCCAGGAAAUCCGUGUCUUCCAGCAAAUCCACGUCUUCCAACAAAGCCAUGUCUUCCAUCAAAUUAAUGUCUUCCAGCCUACUUGUGUCUUCCAACAAAGGUCUUCCAGCAUCUCCAGGGCUUCCAGCAUCUGCUCGUCUUCCAACAUCUCCACGUCUUCCAGCAUCUCUGUGUCUUCCAGCAUCUUCAUGUCUUCCAACAACUACCCAGUCUUCCAUCAACUGGCUCAAUAUCCAUGUCUUCCAACGUCUCCAGUGUGCUGAUCUUCUGACAUUCAGGUCUUCCAGUGUCUGCAAUAUCCAGGUAUUCUAACAUGUUCUAUAGUCCAGAUCUUCCAGCCUUUCCCCAGGUCCAGGCCUUUUCAAAUCUAGGCUUCCCCUGUCUGAGCCUU